GAGGCCCCUCAAUACUACACCACCAAAGCCCAGGAGUAUUACACCACAACGUACGCUGCCCCGAGCUACUACACCGUAGUCCCGAAGUAUUAUUCUUCCCCGAGCUUCAACACCGAAGAGCUUGAAUACUACACCAUGAUCCCAAGUACUACACUACCAAGGCAUCGGAGUACUGUUAACUACAUAUCAUGGACCAUUCGUAUAAAAGCAGAGAAAGGCGACAGAAAUAAUCAGUCGAGUGAUCAUUUAGUGGCCUCCAAGUACUACAUCAACAAGGCACCGGAGUACUACACUACUAAAUACGUUGAUCUAGCUUAUUACACCGAAGGCUCCCAAGUAUUACUCUGCUCCUAAGCUACUACACUGAGGCUCCAACUUACUAAACCACCAGAGCGCCCGAGUUUUACACCACCAAGGCACCGCAGUACACACCACUAAAACAUAUCUUGGGUCAUCUCCGACAUGGCAACAACUGCUGUGCACUACUCGUCACCAACUGCAUUCUUCGUCGUACCACCAGUUUUGCAAUCAUGGUUACAAUACGAAG